GGGCGGUUGGCACAGUUGGUUAGCGCGUCUGUUUUACACACAGAAGGUCACAGGUUCGAGCCCUGUACCGCCCA
rnacentral:tRNA from 1 species